AGGAGGCAGACCACCAAUCUCCACUAAUUUUGGUAAGCUUAAUCAUUACUUGUCUUACCCAACUCAAUUUCAGUCGAUUUAAGUCUAAUCAAAAUCUCUCCCUUUGUGUUCUUCGAUCACUGCUAUGUCAUCACCGUAAGCCCCUUUGUUUUCGAUGAGGAUUCAGAAAUGCAACAACCUUAGAGACCUGCAUUUGGUCUCCGGCGACGAGGUGAGCUUAGGAGGGAAGCUAGAGCAAUAGAGUAGAAACUCGGGCUUGGUGGUGUUGUUAUGAUAAUGGUAGCAGCUCGAGUUGAAUCCGAGGAGUGCAGUGGUCUUCGAUUUCCUUUCAUGGUUUCUUUAAGGUUAGUCUAUGGCAAGACAUGCCAUUUUCCUGUGGAGCUUCAACAUUGAGCUUGAUGGGCGGUAAAGAACGUUUACAUGGAUAUUGAUGAGGCCGGAAUGCAUAGGAAGUUACAAUUACAAGAGCUUGAAGAGAUUCGAAAUGAUGCCUACGAUUCGGCAGCGAUUCCUAAAGAGAAGACUAAAGCGUUCCAUGAUCGCAUGAUUCGUCAGAAAGACUUUGUCGUUGGGCUAAAAGUUUUAUUGUUUCAUUCUGGACUUCAGUUAUUUCAUGGUAAGUUAUGUUCUAGAUGGU